rnacentral:rRNA from 1 species
UCCCUACGGGCGGCUGCAGUGGGGAAUAUUGGACAAUGGGGGCAACCCUGAUCCAGCCAUGCCGCGUGAGUGAUGAAGGCCUUCGGGUUGUAAAGCUCUUUUGGCGGGGACGAUGAUGACGGUACCCGCAGAAUAAGCCCCGGCUAACUUCGUGCCAGCAGCCGCGGUAAGACGAAGGGGGCUAGCGUUGUUCGGAAUUACUGGGCGUAAAGCGAGUGUAGGUGGUUGUCAUAGUCAGGUGUGAAAGCCUUGAGCUCAACUCAAGAAAUGCACUUUAUACUGGGCGACUAGAGGACCGGAGAGGAUAGUGGAAUUCCCAGUGUAGUGGUGAAAUACGUAGAGAUUGGGAAGAACACCAGUGGCGAAGGCGGCUAUCUGGACGGUUUCUGACACUAAGACUCGAAAGCGUGGGGAGCAAACAGGAUUAGAUACCCCAGUAGUCCU